rnacentral:rRNA from 1 species
AUUGAACGCUGGCGGCAGGCCUAACACAUGCAAGUCGAGCGGAUGAAGGGAGCUUGCUCCUGGAUUCAGCGGCGGACGGGUGAGUAAUGCCUAGGAAUCUGCCUGGUAGUGGGGGAUAACGUCCGGAAACGGGCGCUAAUACCGCAUACGUCCUGAGGGAGAAAGUGGGGGAUCUUCGGACCUCACGCUAUCAGAUGAGCCUAGGUCGGAUUAGCUAGUUGGUGGGGUAAAGGCCUACCCAGGCGACGAUCCGUAACCGGUCUGAGAGGAUGAUCAGUCACACUGGAACUGAGACACGGUCCAGACUCCUACGGGAGGCAGCAGUGGGGAAUAUUGGACAAUGGGCGAAAGCCUGAUCCAGCCAUGCCGCGUGUGUGAAGAAGGUCUUCGGAUUGUAAAGCACUUUAAGUUGGGAGGAAGGGCAGUAAGUUAAUACCUUGCUGUUUUGACGUUACCAACAGAAUAAGCACCGGCUAACUUCGUG